AUGCUACGUGCAGGGGCGGACCCAGGGAAAAAAUUGAGAGGGGGCAAAAUGCAUGGGCAUAUUCACGAACUAGCAAGGUCAUGGCUUAUAACUUGUAGGGGUGUUGCCAAGAAAGUUAGAAAUGCCCACUGCUCUAAUCGCCAGAUAAGUGAAGUCGGUGCAGAAGCAUGCAGGGAAUGCCCAAACUGCAAACAUAUCAUUGAUAACAGUGAUGUUUCUAUCCAGUGGCCCGGGCUGCCUGCUGGUGUGAAGUUUGAUCCGUCUGAUCAAGAAUUGCUCGAACAUUUAGAAGAAAAAAUUGGUGUGGGAGGUUCAAAGCCUCACAUGUUCAUCGAUGAGUUUAUUCCAACUGUGGAGAAUGAUGCAGGGAUCUGCUAUUCACAUCCUGAAAAUCUUCCUGGCACAAACAAAGAUGGAAGCAGUGCCCAUUUCUUCCAUAGUAUUUCAAAUGCAUAUGGGUGUGGCCAGCGCAAGCGUCGAAGGAUCAGCAACAGUGAUCGGACCACUUCUGAUGAGCAUGUGAGAUGGCACAAGACGGGUAAAUCAAAACCCGUAUAUGACAACGGUGUUAUGAAAGGGUGGAAAAAAAUAUUGGUUCUGUACAAAGGUUCACAAACAGGUGGCAAACCUGAUAAAACUGACUGGGUGAUGCAUCAGUAUCAUCUGGGAGUAGAGGAAAAUGAAAAGGUUGGGGAGUUUGUCGUUUCCAAAAUAUUUUAUCAAUUGAAGACAAGGCCGGUGGACAAGUCCGAAGCAGAAAUGGCUAAUGAAGAAUCUACUGCAUUUACUGCAAGUAUUUGUCCGAAAACUCCCAUGACAAAGAUCCCGCCAUGUCGCCCAAAGAAUAGUCCAUGUGAGACUGAGCAGAAUGAUCCCGGUCAGGAAGAAGAAACUGUUAGCCUGGCGGAGAAUGCUAAUAACCCUGCAUGGUGUGCUUUAUCAUCUCAGCCUGUUGAGGUGGCACUUGAGGCUGGGACUUGUAGCCUAGACAAGUCUCUGCGUCAUCAUGAAGUUUUGGAUUCCUCCAAUCUUGAAAACAGUACAUUUGACAGGCCAAUCCUUUCUCAACUCAUGAAUGAGACACUUAACAAGAACCUAUGUGCGCUUCAUGGAUUGCCUGAUCUCCAUAAUGUCAACCUUGGAACAGCACCUACAGAUCUUCAGAUUACUAAAGGAGAAAAUGUUAGCUUGGUGGCUGAUGCUGAGAACACUGCAUGUUGUUCUUUAGCGUCUCAGGAUGUUGAGGUGACUUCUCAGGCUGGGACUAGCUUGGUUGAAUCUCUCCUUCAUCAUGAGGUUUCAGAUCUCCAUAAUGCUAACCUUGGAACACCUAGAGACCUUCAGAUUGCUAAAGAAGAAAGUGUUAGCCUGGUGGAUGAAGCUGAGAAAUGGUGUGGUUUAGCGUCUCAGGCUGUUGAUGUGGCAUUUCAUGCCGGGACUAGCUUGGACGAAUCCCUGCGCUGUCAUGAGGUUUUGGAUUCCUUCGAUCAUGAAAAGAGUCUUACAUUUGACAGGCCAAUCUAUUCCCAAGGCAGGGAUGGGGGACUUGAAAAUAACCUUUAUUCACUUAAUGGAUUACCUGAUCUCCAAGGUGUCGACUUUGGGACACCGAUAGAUGAUCUUCAGGGGUUGCAGUUCUAUUCACAGGAAAGCCUUGGCAGCUGGUUGGAGCGCAUGUAG
rnacentral:rRNA from 1 species